rnacentral:lncRNA from 1 species
CACUGCUCUGAAGGCCUGUUUCCUAAACUACAAAUGGAGCACCUUCUUUAUCCUUCUACCUAGGAGAAAGGCCCAGGACUAUGAGCAGAGGGCUACUUGUACACAUUCGUAGAUCUCUCUGUGAGUCACUAUUAGUUCAUCAAGAAGUGACCCCCAGGUGGAGCCAAGUGGCAAGGUGCCAUGCAUAAGCUCCCCUAGUAACUGUCUUUAUUUUUAAUCAGGGCUCACACUAAUAACAUC